rnacentral:rRNA from 1 species
GUGGGGAAUAUUGCACAAUGGAGGGAACUCUGAUGCAGCGACGCCGCGUGAGUGAAGAAGGUCUUCGGAUCGUAAAACUCUGUCCUUGGUGAAGAAAAGGACGGUAGCCAAGGAGGAAGCCCCGGCUAACUACGUGCCAGCAGCCGCGGUAAUACGUAGGGGGCGAGCGUUGUCCGGAUUUACUGGGCGUAAAGGGUGAGUAGGCGGUUAUAUAUGUCAGGUGUAAAAAGCUAUGGCUUAACCAUAGUAAGCACUUGAAACUGUAUGACUUGAGUGCAGGAGAGGUAAGCGGAAUUCCUAGUGUAGCGGUGAAAUGCGUAGAUAUUAGGAGGAACACCGGUGGCGAAGGCGGCUUACUGGACUGUAACUGACGCUGAGUCACGAAAGCGUGGGUAGCAAACAGGAUUAGAUACCCGUGUAGUCC